CCUACGGGAGGCAGCAGUGGGGAAUCUUGCGCAAUGGGCGAAAGCCUGACGCAGCCAUGCCGCGUGAAUGAUGAAGGUCUUAGGAUUGUAAAAUUCUUUCACCGGGGACGAUAAUGACGGUACCCGGAGAAGAAGCCCCGGCUAACUUCGUGCCAGCAGCCGCGGUAAUACGAAGGGGGCUAGCGUUGCUCGGAAUUACUGGGCGUAAAGGGAGCGUAGGCGGAUAGUUUAGUCAGAGGUGAAAGCCCAGGGCUCAACCUUGGAAUUGCCCUUGAUACUGGCUAUCUUGAGUACGGAAGAGGUAUGUGGAACUCCGAGUGUAGAGGUGAAAUUCGUAGAUAUUCGGAAGAACACCAGUGGCGAAGGCGACAUACUGGUCCGUUACUGACGCUGAGGCUCGAAAGCGUGGGGAGCAAACAGGAUUAGAUACCCUGGUAGUCCACGCUGUAAACGAUGAGUGCUAGUUGUCGGCAUGCAUGCAUGUCGGUGACGCAGCUACGACAUAAGUACACUCCGCCGUCGGGUAGGUACGGUCGGCGAAGAAGUUAAACUUAACUAAAUUAGUUAAGUUAGUUACGGCGUGAGACGUUGCCGACGGACGACCGACCGAGGGGAGGUUAGG
rnacentral:rRNA from 1 species